rnacentral:rRNA from 1 species
UACGUAGGGUGCGAGCGUUGUCCGGAAUUAUUGGGCGUAAAGGGCUCGUAGGCGGUUUGUCGCGUCGGGAGUGGAAACACCGGGCUUAACUCGGUGCUUGCUUUCGAUACGGGCAGACUAGAGGUAUGCAGGGGAGAACGGAAUUCCUGGUGUAGCGGUGAAAUGCGCAGAUAUCAGGAGGAACACCGGUGGCGAAGGCGGUUCUCUGGGCAUUACCUGACGCUGAGGAGCGAAAGUGUGGGGAGCGAACAGG